rnacentral:rRNA from 1 species
GUGCAAAGGUAGCAUAAUCACUUGUUCCUUAAAUAGGGACUUGUAUGAAUGGCUUGACGAGGGUUUAACUGUCUCUUAUUCUCAAUCAGUGAAAUUGACCUUCCCGUGAAGAGGCGGGAAUAAACUAAUAAGACGAGAAGACCCUAUGGAGCUUAAAUUUUAUAGUCUAGCAUAAAAACAAUUACACCCACGAGGUCACAAACUCAUUGCUUUACAGACUACAAAUUUUGGUUGGGGUGACCUCGGAGUACAAAACAACCUCCGAAUGAUUCUAAUCUAGACCACACCCGUCUAAAUUAAUAUUCAUAAAUUGACCCAAAAAUCUUGAUCAACGGAACAAGUUACCCUAGGGAUAACAGCGCAAUCCUACUCAAGAGUUCAUAUCGACAGUCAGGGUUUACGACCUCGAUGUUGGAUCAGGACAUCCAAAUGGU